GACAACGUGGCCGAGCGGUUAAGGCGAUUGACUAGAAUAUUCCUUCUAAGGCCUCUUGGUCUACCAUCAAUUAGGGUUUCCCUGCGUAGGUUCAAGUCCUGCCGUUGUCG